CUCGAGUGUGAGCGAGUGGAACUGGUGGUGGACGCUGAGUAUAUAUUGUAAAUGCCCCAGAAGACUGUUGGGCAUUCCGCACAGGAUGGAGGUGGAAUCCUUACCCAGCCAGGAUGCCAGAAUGGAAGGAUGGGCUAAAUGGGGGCAAUACCCGAUCUGGACACCUUAUGAUCCUUGUCCUGGGUGGGAUGCCUGAAAAUUAGAAGAACUGGCAGGACAGCUUGGCAGGCCACCAGAACAGAAACCCAACUAAGACUCCGCUAACUUCCGCCACUACAUCACGCCCUCCUGCAGACCUCAUUUCGGGCUAAAAUCCCACACCUUCGUAUCCUUCACCUAUAAGAACCAAAGCUUUCACUCUGUUAGUCAGUCAAUGUUGGACCAGUCCUUUGUGAUUACUCUGUUGAAAAUGUAUCACUUUAUUGCUACUCUAUACAGGGUGGACUUCCCCAAAUCUUUGUCUGUGUUUGUAUGCUUUCUUCACAAUACAUACAUAUCUCUCUUUUAUAAUAAAAAAUCUUG